GGGGGUGGAGCCAAGAUGGCCGAAUAGGAACAGCUCCGGUCUCCAGCUCCCAGCCCCAGCGACACAGAAGACGGGUGAUUUCUGCAUUUCUGCUUGAGGAAUGCCUGCAUACUUGUUCUUAAACAGCCCUGGGAGCCCGAAUUUAUGGAAGAUGCAGAUGAAAUCCGUUCCAGAUCUCCAAGGAAAAUUAGCCUUUCUCUGACACACUCCUCAAAAUCCUUCCAGACUUGACCCACUAUUCACCACGGCAGCACAUCACCUCCAGUGUCACAAUCAAUGUGCUGUGACGGACAUCUCAAGGAUGGACCAAGAGAAAAUUGAUUUUCAAGCUGGCUCACUGGGCAAGGGCUCAGAGAGAGAGACCGUGAGAGAGCCAGCAAGAUGGAAGUCACCAUCUCUUUGUAACCUUAUCUUGGCAGUGAUAUCUCAUCACUUUUGCAGUGUUCUCUGCAUUAGAAGAGGGUCAUGGUGUCCAGCUCACAUGUGAGUGGAGACACAUUACACAAAGCUAUGGAUUCCAGGAGGGUGAAUCUUAAGGAGCCAUUGUACAGGCUGCCUGUUACAGAGAUGUUCUUGUACUGUAAUGAAGGAAUUUGUCACACAUUUCUAAUUGUCCAGGAAUUGUACAAAAUUUCUGAAUAGAUAACAUUUGACUGUAGCGUUGUAUCUACAUCUAGAUUGUUAAUUAAAUCUAAGACAGUCUAUCUAUAGAGUUUUAAAGAUCAUGUAAAAGUAGAUCUAACUAUGUAUUGAUGGUAAGGGAAGAGGUCCCUGAAGAAAUGACUUUUCAACUACGACCUGAAGGGCAGUGCAGCCAGUGAUGACUGCAUGGAGGUUAGGAUGCAGGAAGGAAGAGCUGAAUUUAGAAAACAAGGGAGAAAAGAAGAAUCCUAUUCAGAACCCUAUGUUUCUUGGCUACUACUUUUUCUUCCUCGUGUUCAUCUUUUGUGCCAAGAUCUAUUAACUUAUUGUACUAAUUUAAGGGACAGAUUUAUUCACUUCGAUAUAGUUGAAGAACCUAAAGUUUAAUGAGUUUGGAGCCCCAGUGAUUUGAAAAAGAAUGUGAGGAAGAAGGAGAAUGAGGGAGAGGGAGAGAGAAGCGGGCAGGGGAGGAAGACGAGGGAGAGGAAAAAUUGUGAGGUAGAGAACCAAGAUAAGGAAAGGAUGUUUCAGUGCAUUCCUUUGCCUUCGCUUCUGAAAGAUUCUAUACAGGUAGAAGAGAGGGUUUUGCAAGAACACGCACUAGAGUAUUUCUUGGUGAAAAGUCAUUGUGGGGUUAAUCAAAUUGGAGUUCAAUUCACAGUCAAUAAUACAAACCCAAACUAUCAAAUAAGGGAGCUGCUGGAAAUCAGAAUGAGUAUCGCUGAAGAAAGUUAAAAACAAAACAAAACAAACAUGAAGACCAGCCACCAUCCAGAAUGGAGGGAGAAGGAGGGAAGGUAUCUGAGGUGACAAAGGUAGAGGAGAGGUUACAUAGGGUGAAUAACGAGAGCCCAGUGAUUCCAGCUCCUUGAAGAUGCAGAGAAUGUCUGAGUGCCUUAUACAUAUUUUUCUGUACCAGCUUUUUACAUUUCAGAUGUUGUUGGUAUUUCUGUCUCCAUUUGAAUGCAGUUCACAGGUGAAGUCCUUCCAGUGCAGGUCACCUACUUACAGAGUUCUGAAAUACAAAACCAUUUUGGCCCUCAUCUCACUCUAUGGACCUGACAAUCAGCACUGGUGUGCCAGCUGUAGCCCUGGAUUUCCCCUGGUUAUUCUGUAUCUAGCUGGUUCAAUUGCUCACACUUCCUAAUAACUCCCGUCUCCCACUGGCUUGCCCUUGGACCAACUAAUGGAGACAGAAAUUUUCUACUGCCAUGUUACCUAGAGUGUGUCCCAUGGAGCAGAAGUCCAUGUUUUACUGGGCAAAAAUAACUUUCAGAGUUAAAAGUAUUUAUUUAUAAUAGGAGCAUUUAAUAAGUCAAUGCACAUUGUUAAUUUCAAAGAGGAAAAUAUAAAUGUAUUAUUUUUCAAAGGUGUUUAACAUGAGGAUACACUUUUUCCUGGUGAACUGAUGAUGUUGAAAGGAUUCUCCUUUUGGAAAUGUUGAUCACGUAUAGCUUUAUACUCUAUAAGUGCAUUAUAGGUUUGGUGAUGUUUGAUUGAUAAUAUAAGAUUGUAGUGAUCUAGAGGGUUACCAGGAUGUCUUGGCCAGUAGUUGAAAAGACAGAAAUGAUAUGAUAAUUUCUUAAUCAGCUCUCUUGGACAUGAAAAUAAAACAGAGGCUUCCCAAUCCUGG